rnacentral:rRNA from 1 species
CCUACGGGGGGCAGCAGUGAGGAAUAUUGGUCAAUGGACGAGAGUCUGAACCAGCCAAGUAGCGUGAAGGAUGACUGCCCUAUGUGUUGUAAACUUCUUUUAUAUGGGAAUAAAAUGUUCCACGUGUGGCAUUUUGUAUGUACCAUAUGAAUAAGGAUCGGCUAACUCCGUGCCAGCAGCCGCGGUAAUACGGAGGAUCCGAGCGUUAUCCGGAUUUAUUGGGUUUAAAGGGAGCGUAGGUGGAUUGUUAAGUCAGUUGUGAAAGUUUGCGGCUCAACCGUAAAAUUGCAGUUGAAACUGGCAGUCUUGAGUACAGUAGAGGUGGGCGGAAUUCGUGGUGUAGCGGUGAAAUGCUUAGAUAUCACGAAGAACUCCGAUUGCGAAGGCAGCUCACUGGACUGCAACUGACACUGAGGCUCGAAAGUGUGGGUAUCAAACAGGAUUAGAUACCCCGGUAGUC